rnacentral:lncRNA from 1 species
UCUCAUGUUAGGUCAACAUGUUUUUGGCGACGUGACAUACCACAAGCCGGACGAGGUUCAGUUGAGUGUGCUCUAUCUUUGUGGAGUAUCCACUUUGGUUGAUUCAUCUCAUCUGGGCUAUUGACUUCGGUGACCGAUCUUUCCCGGAUCUUUGGUUCAGAUGAUCUUAAGAGAGCUACAACGGCACACCCGAAAGGGCAAACCCGUUGAGUAUCUUUGCCCGAUUGUCGAGACCACUGUCCGCCUUAGGAUGACCUUGUUAGAAUUCACCUGUGAGGGGAGGGUUUGAUUCUUUCAAGUAAAUAUUUUUGCCAGUGAUUCUGUGAUGGUGAUUAUGAUUAAGUCGGAUUUAUGGAUCUUUAUUUUGAGACGCCGAAGGUUUGACCCUGGUAUUGAUCGGAGGGUUCCGUUUAUUUCGGAUCCCUGGGCUGAAUUUGAGGGUACUUGCUCAGAUGUUGACUUGGGUUCAGAUGACUUUGGGUUUCAGAUGAUUUGUGGUUCCGAGUUCAAGUCGAAGCUUUGAUCCUGUGCCGCGAUAUGCUCAGCCGACCAGUCAUGGCUCCAUCAUUUGCAUCAUAGCAUGUUUAUUUUCAAAAAAAAAAAGAAAAAGAAAAAUAAAUAAUGCAUGAAAAAAAUUUAACCCGCAUACGCAUCACACGCAUCAUACUAUGUCAUUUUGCAUAACAGGUGUUCUUGUUCGUGACUUCUCACU